UUUUUGGACAACAACAGAGUUCUGCAGCUCAGAGGAAGACGAUAUGUCUGACUUUGGAUACAUACAUAAUACUUGUUAGCACGAUCAAUUCAUUGCUGGUUUUUGUCUUUCUUGGGAUUUGUUGAUGAUAAGAAAAAAUGCAGAAUAUCACCAAACCUUUAAACACUGCUUGGUUGUAACACCUUUGGAGAAUUUAAUGAAUGAAUCAGCAGAUCAAUGAAUCUGUGAGUCACACGCUGAUGUGGAGUAACCGCCUUUCAGCUGUGAGAAACUGGAGAGUCCAGACGUUUAGUGAACACAUUCUCACAGGAGAUGGUGAAAGUGUGAGUCAGACUGAAGGAGGCAGAGAGAUGCAGACAGAGAGGCACUCAGGUGGAGAAACAAUCACACAGGGGAGAUGGAGGGGCGAGCGAGGAAAACAGUCAGACAGACAGAGAGAGAGAGGUGUAAACACAUACAUCACAUGCUCCAGAUAAUCUCACUAUGUUGUUGCCACAACUGACAGACUGACCAACUGGAUGGCUUACUGGUUGCUGCCAUAUUGGCUCGCUGGCUAUACUGGCUGCCUUACUGUCUGGGAGAUGGGAUGGCUGACUGACUUACUGACGGAUUGGAUGGCUUACUCCCAUUAUCUCUUGAUGACUGACAAGCUAGCUGUCUGGCUGGAUCAUUUACUGACUGAUACACUGACAGACUGGCUGGCUGGCUGGUUAGUUUGCUCAGUGACUGUUUGAACAGUACGGCCAUGUUCAGACAGACAUCACCCUUGCAUGAAAAAACGCAACCCCUUCGCUCAUUUCGAUGAGAUCACUGUGUUGGCACAGCGAGGUAACUAACAUACGCAGAGGGCUCCGGUAAAAAACACACGGUCGUCCGUCCAAAAAAUUGAACCUGGCUCAACUUUUGCCGCAAAGCAAUAAAGCGCCAUCCGGCAGGGCGCUGCAUUGGCCAAUCAAAUGCACACUAGCACACAUAUCUACUGUUUAAUUUGCACUUGUCGAGAUGGGGGACAGAAUGAACAUCGCCAUGAAAACUUUCCAGAGUUGCACAAUCCUGUAUCAUAGUAUAUAAAGCAAUGAGCAGUGUUUUGGCGUCUGAAAAACCUGCAAACUCAUGAAUCUAUUACUCAAACCGGAAACACAUCCAUACCAACGCAUGCAUUUUUUAAAAACAGGGCUGUUUUUGGUUUAAACGGCCGAUAAACUUGACCAUCAGGACGAUUGACUUCUUUGCUCUCUAGCUGAUUGUUGGUCACGCAGUUCAAAGGGGCAACUGGCUUGCUGAUUGGUCAACUUGUUGACUUGAGGCAGGGUCAGACUCGCCACUGUAAGCAGACACCAAGUUUUUGCCAACUUGUUGCUGAAUAGGGGCAUGUUUUAUUACCUUUAUGGCAAGCAAAUUACUUGGAACACGUGACUACUCUAUCUCUUGCUAUUUUUCCUGUUGCAUGAGUGGCCAGUGGCCUCCUCCUCCUGCCUCAGUGCUGCAGCGUCUCUUGUUUACUGCUCUGAGCUUUAAAUUGCUGGUAGCCUGUUACCUCUGAUGCACUCUGCCUGGUAGUAGCCUAAGGAUAGUAAUGGUCACCUCUACCUAGCACACAGAAACAGCAACACACUCUUACUAUCAGGCGGUAUUAGAAUCAAAGUGUUAUUCCGCAGGUGCAAAACAAUAUACACAAAUUAGUCUCAGUGACACAGACGCAAAGGCUAGCGGCAACACCGCUGAUUUCAACAGUGAGCUAGUCAAAAAUUGGGUGAUUUAAGGGUGCUCUUUAUAAAGACUUUAGAGUGAUUUAUUUAAACAAAUUAGACCAGUAGUGGGAUAAAAUGUGCAAUGAACUAUGGCUUCAAACUUCUUUCCAUGAAUAUGUAUGCAAGUUCUUAACCCAUCCAAGCCGACUGCAAAAAGUCUAUUUAAGUCUCGUUGCGGACUGGAUGAAUUGUGAAUUUGAAUAGCUCUAGUCAAUCACAGUCUUCCUGGGAACGCGCCUGUUUGGCACCGGUUUGCUCCAACCAAAAGUGCUUGUCCGACUGUCUAACAACGUCUGAAACUGUCCAACUGUAACUUUCCCCAACAGACAAUCCGACAAUCACGCCCACUUUAUGCAGUGAUUAAUCGAUUAAUUGAAUAGCGAUACACUGAAGAAUAAAAAUCCUCAACAUUGCAGCUUUAAACAGAUGUUAUAGUAUUAAUAAAUGUGAGUUUCUGCUGGAUUCUACCCAGCUGUUUGAGGCACGUUCAGCCACACGAGACAGAAUCCACCAUGGCUGUCUUUGUUUCAGUUUUUCUUUAUUUUGGGGUGACUUUUUUUCCUCUGGUGGGUGAUUAUGCUGCAGCAGCAGAGGAGCAUUAGUGUGUUGGAUGGUGGAUGUGAGGCUGAAGCCCCGAGGUGUUGGAACAGCAUCAGACAGAGGAGGACGACAAAAUGGAGGGUGGGUGGGAUGGGAGGAAGAAGAGGGGGAGUGGUACAGACAUGGGCUAAUUGUGAAUCGUCUCUCUGUUUCGAUUUGUCUGUCUCUGCCUUUCAUUCUUCACCUCCGUCUUGUCUGUCUGUCUGGUUUUUCCUCUUCUGUCUGUCUCUCUUUUCUUUCUAUUUUUCCGUCUCUUUCUGUCUCCAUCUCUUUUUUGCUUGUCUUGCUUUUACUCGUCUGCCUCGUUUACCUCUGUCUUUCUCUGCCUCAUUUGACCUCCCUUUUUUGUCUCUCCUCCCAGCUGUAUCUCUGCCUCUUUUACUUUUAUUCCUAUAGCUGUCUUUCUUUUCUUUUCUCUUUUUUGUCUUUUUGUCUCUGCCUUUCUUUCAUUCUAUGUUGUCUUUCUGUCUCUCUUUCACUUUAAUUCUCUCCUUCAUCUUCCCUCUUUCUGUCUUGUUUUCUGUCUCCCUAUUGUUCUAUUUGCUCUUUUUCUUUUCUCCCUCUCAUCUUUUUUGUCUUCACGUCUUUUGCAUUGUCUUCUGUUUUGCAUUUGUUCUCUUAUUCACCUUCCUCUUCUAUGUUUCUGUAUCUCUCGCUACUUGUGUUUCUCAAUCUUUUUCUUCGUGUCAGUUUUUACCUCUCUUUUUGUCUGUCAGUCUUGAUGUUUAUGACCUUUCUGUCGUCUGACUCUCUUUAGUUUACUUUUUUAAAAUCAUUAUAACAGAGAGCAAAGACCAAGCAAAUGUUUCCAUAACCAAAUUACAAAGUCAAAUUUUAAAAAGAAAAUCAAGGACACACUGUGUCAUUGAUGUUAAACAGGUUGAAACCAGGUCCAGUCGAUCUGCAGUCCUGCAGUUCCAGUCCAACCUGCUGCACCUACAGGCAAGGACAUUAACAGCUGCUGCAGUUUUAACACUUACGCCACCUGCAGGCAUUGAGUGUUACAGCUGUGUAUGAGAAUUAAUAUUUUACUAGUUAAAACUGUAAAAAAUCAGGUUUGUUAACUGAAGAGUACUUUCUGCUGAAUACAGAGAGAAUCAUGUCAUCUUUCAUCUGGGAUACCCAUAUUUUAUUUGAUCUGUUGGAUACUAAGCCGCGUUUCCUGCCUUAUUACUUGAACCUUUGAACAUAAUCAUAAUCAUAAUCCCUCGUCUCUUAUGAAAGACAACUCUACUCUUUAUUACUGUUUACUAUCAAAAAUUGCGUUAGUCUUAUAGAUACUGAACCAAAUUUACAGAAGCACAAACAUGGCAAAAAAUGUCAGAUUUUUUUCUCUCCUCUUUUUAAAAUUUUUUAAAGUUUCUUCUUUUGAAUGCAUUGAUUGUUGUAGUAAUAUUGGGACCUUAAAUGGUUUACACAGAUGAAACCAUGUGGCUUUGUGCUUUCAAACUAUGUAGUUUGUCAAAGUUAAGUGAAGAUUCAACAGGAUACCAUCCAAAAUAACAUUAUGAGCUCCUUUCCUACCUUUAUUUGGGCAGCUGUGUGUUAAAUAAUGCUUGUUUCAUUAAUGUUUAGACAGAGAAAUAAAAAUCAAUCAAUUUCCAAAAUCUUCAGAAGCUAACAUCUGAUGGUUAACCCCCAGUUCACACAUGGGAUUACAAAGGAAAAGAAAGAAGCAGCAGGAUGUCAGUCACUAUGGAAGACUGCUAAGGAGGCAGAUGCUAAGCGUCAAAGAGCAGUGCAAUGACUGGGAGUUGAGAAAGUUUCUGCAAAAGUUUUUCUGUCGUGAGAGUUCACGUACUGGAAAAACGGCAUUUACAUUUCUUCCAAAACAUAGUAGGCACAACUAUUUACUACUCUAUACACAUAAUUUUUUGGAAUAAUUUCAAUAUUUUAUUUUAGCUUACAGGUGGCACAUGGCAUAAGUGCAAAACCUCAAAGACAACCACAAAGUAAGAAAUUGUCUGCAGGUGGAAACAUCGACAUCGUGUCCGCUGCUGCUGUUACAUUGCUUUCCUGUAGUUGUCGCAGGUUUGCAUGUCUAGAGACUGAACAGCUCCCUCUGGUGGAGAAUCUGCAGCUUGAUAAGCGUAAAUGAGUUACGAGCCAGUACACGUACACAUCUAAACCUCGGAAUCUGGACCAAACCUUCCUCUACAAUCUAUCAUUCCACUACAUUAGACAGGUAAUAAUAUCUUGUCAGUCACCUGUCUUCACAGAUUUACUCUGUUUAUAUUAGAAGGUUUUUUAAGUUUUUGAGGCAACUGAUGCAGAUAACUUUGUCAUUAUGUGAGGGCUUUCGGUGCCUCCUGGGUGCAUCUCCAGCUGCAUGUGUUUUCACUCACUGUGAUGAUAAUCCCCCAGUUAAUGCAGCUAUAAUGAGGGUCAAUGGGGAGGCGGCGGAGUGGCCAAUCACUGUUUCCCUCUUCACACUGUGAUAAUAGCCUUCCUCUUCACACCUUCCUGCUAUCAACAUGGACUCCUCAACCAUUGCAUUCACACACAAACACACAGCUUUGGUUCCUCAGUUUAUCCCUUUAUGGUGCAGGAUCUUCUGGGCCUGAAUAUGGAGACGGGCAGAUGCAGUGCGUUGUGCAUUGUGUGAAAGUGAGACGUGGCCUGUUAAAAAGCAGAAUGUGUGUGUUUUUACUGCAUUAAGAUGUAAUCAGACACAGCAAACAGCUAUAGUCAGAUCUGUUUAGGUGGCUGUUAAGGUUUCAUGCUGCUUAGAUAAAAGUCAGGAGGAAGUUGAUGUGUCUGGUGAUUUUAAUGGCCGACAGAACAAAUUCUUACUUCUUAAAAUAAGUCAUUUGCACCCUUGUCUUACAAAUAACUCCCUCAAAUUACAAUUUCAUACACUCAAUAUUUAAUUUCUUCAGUUUAGUAAGUCAUACCCUUGAAUUACUUAAUUUCUUCCCUCAAGUUAAGAAUUUCUACACUUUAAAUACUAAAUUUUGGCCUCAGUUUGUUUAAUCUGGACCCUCCCUAUUCUCAUUGUAAAUCAUGUACAAAUUAUCAGUAUCAGGGAAUGUGUAUGCAUGAAUAAAACCAGAUAACAAAAAAAGUAUACCGAGUACACAAAUUUCGAAUUUUCCCAGCCAUACCUGCUAGGCUCUGUAGAUUUUCAAUUGACAUUUUUGCAUGUAGUGCUUCUAAAUAAAAUCUGAUGCUGGGCUGUUUAAGACACGUACUGUGCGUACCUGGAAAGCAACCGAGUGUACAAUAAAGUUUUCCCUGCUGCUAAAGAGGAUCCGAGGAUUUUCUACUUUUCCUUAUUUUUUACGUGGUCUCACCUGCUGACGUUGUCGUUCUACAUGUUGUUGUAGUAAUGUUGUUUGCUUUUACAUUUUUUUUUUUUUACUGCAAACCAAUUUACUGUUAAUUAAGUUUUGAAUUGAAGUGAAUUGCUGCCAGUGUUUAAGUGCUGCCUGUGAAGCAAAAUGUCUGACACAUCAAGAGCAACCGCAAGUCACAUUUCCCGGAAAAAGUGCUGCUCAGGAGAGAGUUUUCACUCAUUUCAGUCCAAAAUGACAAUCACCAGUUUCAGUGUCAGUGUGACGGUGACGCACAGAGCUUCGACAGAGUUUGCACACACAAUGGCAAAACUUUGUCCUAAACAGAAUAUACUGAAAUACUGAGCAGUAACUAUCAGGUAAAUACUAUUAACUCCCACAAUAAAUCAUUUAAAACUCUGUACACAAAUCAAACGAUACAAUGAGUUUAAAUUUAUACAAAAGAACACAGAGCAUUAUCAAUCCGUUUUUUUUCAGGUUCUUAUAUUGAUGUACAACAUUUAGGGGAUUGAUCUUAGUGAAGUGUUUUACUGUCAAGGUCAUCCUCAUGCUUUAAUUUAACUUGAUCACGAAACAUGUAUAUAAUUAUUGAGCCCAGAAAGUAUGUCAAAGUAUGACAAAAAUCUAUAUUUAAAACAUACUUACAAAUAAUAAACUAUAUUUGUAAAGGGAUUGGAUGAUUUCAACCUUUUGAAGUCUUUGAUUUAAAGUGGUCCAUAUUUUUACUCACACUGCACAUUGCUGCAGCGCCUCUUGUCUCGAACGCUCUGUUUUAGCUACAGAGUGAGGCAUCUCACUUCUAUUCAAUCUUUGUUGGGAGUUGCACAUGCACAGUACCUAGGUAAGAACUACUAGCCAAUCAGAAGCAGAGUAGGGUGGGUCCUGACGAGCAAGGUAGUGUGAUCCAAAACAAAGCGCUUCAGCCGGUAACUAUGGCUUCGGUUCAGCUGUACAUGUUCCAACAACCCGAACAAGCUUCACAACCGAGACUGAAGCGAGACCUUUCACAGUAACGUUUUAACUGUGCACAGUCUCUACAUCACAGUAACAACUUUACUGACUGCCUGGAGGGUAUCUAACGUUAUGUUAAUGUCAUAUUUAGUUGUACUUGUUACAUAAUGACGUUAGGGAAGUAAAGGCUGGACGACAAUCGAGCUGUUUUCAGGCAGUUCAGGAGCAGUGUUUUCUGUGGGAGAGGGUAACUCCCUUUGGGGUGGACUUUGGGCUUUUUCACUUUGCAAACUUCUUACAUGCACAAAAAAGAUAUAUAGCAAAAUAAAGGAAAGGGAAAAAGCCAAAAGGCAUAAUAUGAACACUUUUUUCAUGUUAUAAUGACACUGAAAAAGUCUUAAUGUAUGAAAAUACCACUGAAGGUGACAUUUCAGGUGAUAUAUGGAGUUGUACUUUCGAAAAACUGAGCCGUGAACACCAAGAGUCUGUGAUUUUGUCAUUUUGUGAUAAAAACCAUCAGUCACAUUAAAUGAAACCAGGCCUGCAGGAAAACUCCAAUCCAGUCAAAGUGUUCACACGUCACGAAGCUGUCGGAGUUACAGUGAUAAAAAGCUGGUAGACAUUCAGCCUCUCGCUCCAGGACACGGCAGCGGGACAGAGUAGCUGCUGUGGGAAUUGAACCUGUGACCUCUUAGACGGGGGCUAAGUGGAGCGGAGACCGUGUCCAGACUGAGACAAGAGCGAAUCGUAUUCAUUUGUACGGUUUACAAACCGACCAGCCUUUAAUCAGGUCGUUCACAGCUCCCGCACAGCGAUUCUGUGAAAGAUCACACCAGAGAGACGAUGUGAACAGCGAAAUGGAAAUGUUUCCCAGGACCACAGCGUUUAAUCAGCAUGAUACGCUAAAUAUGACAAAAUCUGACUCUAAUGUGACACAUUGGAGGAAACUGUUGUUCACUAAAUGUACUUAAUUUGUACAGAAAAUUGAUGUUAAGACAAAAUGCAUUUAAACUCAGUUAAAAACUCAAUUACCAAUGUUGAUGAAAUAGGUUUUAAGAUUUGUUUAAUUCAUUUCCAACUCCAACAUCCAAUUUCCAACAGGUUUAACAAUAUUAUGGAUGCAGUAUCUACAUAAUUUUGGAAUCCAUGCUAGUUAUUGUGUGUGGCAGGGCUCUUAGUUGCCUAAAUGUAACCAUACCAUGAAGUCCUCAGUAUGCUUCAAAUGAAGUGCUCAUCAGAUCAUCUAAAAGGUUCAGGAUGCUCCAGAUGUGCUAGUUGUUGUCUGAACACAUUUAAAUGCAAAAACAGAAAUAAGAGUAUAAACUUUCUGGGCAUGUUAUGUUAUCCGGCAUUGGAAAUUGUAACCUGCAUGGACAAUCUCUCUGAUGUACAGAAGCUGGAUGCCAACAGGCAGGCUCUAUUUCAGAAUGAAAAUGUCUAGCUUAAUGUAUAUUUUCAGCAGUCCAACAACACACAUUUCUACUGCAAAUAACUAAAUGAAGACCUGGAAAGGUCUUAAAUUUUAGACUCUGCAGACCUUUGUAGGAUCCUCUUGCCUCUCUGUCUUUGAUUUGUUUUUAAAGCCAGUGGGUUUCUCCUUAUCGCUAACUUUUUGGGAUCAUCCAUGAAAGCCACUGUACCUUUGAAUUGGUGUAAUGGAUAAAUAAUAUAUAUAUUUUGUGUGGCAAAUAAUCAUGCGCGUUUUGUUGCAACAUGAUAAUUUGUUAAUGCAGUAGAGUAGCUGAUUGCUUCACAAUUAGCCAUUAUGAUUCUUAUGAAAACAACAAACUAGUGUACAGUGAGGCUCAGCUGCUGUGGUUUGAUUUAAUCCAGAUUUCUGUCCGGUUGGUCACACUGGAGGAAUAUAACACAGGCCAUCCUGACUCGGGCACAGCGAUAUCACAUUUAACAACAGGGAGACAAACUUCUGCUACUGUUGAACACAAAUCCAGCCAAAACAUUUUAGUCUUAUUUCUUAUAUUCAGGUUAAAUGGAGUCUAUUGAUGGGGAAAACAUCCCUGAAGAAACUGAAACCAAAGCCUCCUUUACUUUCAUAGCCACAAAACAAAAUCCCAGAUCCAAAUCACUAUAAAAAUCAAAUCAAUUGCUCCUUGGCUCGAGGCCAAACUGUCUGCCAAAUUUCAUGGAGAUCUGUUCAAAAGGUUUUAGAGAAAUCCUGCUCUCAGACAGACUAACUGAUCCUCCAACAGCUCCUGCUGACAUAGUUCACAUCAAUGGAGAUUCUCCACUGGCUGCACAGUUUCAUUUGGGGGGAUUGAACCUCACAUGCAGCAGUGUCACACACAUACAGCAGCUGUCUGUGUAAUGAUAUCUCUAGAAAUACGUUCUGCACUGUUGCCUUUCUACCUUAAAGCAGCAACAACAUUUCAUCUCUUUUGUAUCUGCUUUCACUGCAAACUGUUCUGGACAAACCAAUUUCUUUCCUAAUUUAUACAAAAAUGGUCACUCCGUUGCUCUGAAAACAUUGAGAUUUAUUAGAAGAGCUCAUCAAAUCGUUGCUUUUGGAGUUCAUUUUCCUUCAGCACAGCAUAUGAAACUUCUGUUAGGCCAAUCAAAUAAUCCCAUCCACCCUCCAAACAAAUGCCAGCUGAAGGUAAAAUGUAUGUUUGGAAGAUGAAUGAAAAACAGAGGCGAUAUCACUUUGAUUGCCUUGAUUAUCUGAUGAAGUCUGAUUACAUCUUUGUUCUUUGCCUGCUGUAAAAUUUGUCCCUACUGGACACCGUACACAGUCUGACUGUGAGCCAAUCAGAUCAAAGCAAAACAAAGGCUCUGUAUCAAAUAGGCUCCUGAUUGGAUGCUCUGCACAAAGCAGCAGCAUCUUUUUGAUCCAGGAAAUGAGUUCCCAAUGAACACCAGAAACUGCUUCUACAGAGAAAUUACCACUGUGAAAAGAACUCAAAAUGACUUCACAACCUGCUUCUUCUUUGACCCAAACAAAGAUGGCGGCCAGAAACGGAAGCUGCUUCCUCAUCUGGUCACAUGUUACACACUGGGGCUAAGUAAUUUCUACAUUUGCUUCCUCCGUCUCAUUCUUUGCCACAGAUUGCACUUUCUGCACACACUUUUUGUAUUUUCAUGCGCUGAGUUAAUCAGAUCUGAGGCAUCCAAACUGGACUAUGAAACGUUGACAUGAAGCGAGGAUGAGCGAGCCUGGCAUAGUUUGAUCUGCCCCUGCAAGCUUCAGCCAGAUAAACUGUUGUUGUUGUUGUUUCUGUGGAUUAAAGCCUGGUGUGUUCCUGCAGCAGAUUGCCCUCGGAGGGAACGGACAGGCCUUUUAGUGUAAAGGUAUUAAGCCCAGGUCUAAUCCAGAGCUAGGAGAGCAGCCAAUUUAAACUGGAUUCAGCCCACAGGACGACACAUCCCUCAGUCUAUCCCUGUCUGUAGUGCCUAGUUUUUGGACGCUCUGUUGCUAUCUGAGAUUCUCCCUCCAUUCGUGUCUUUGUCACUCUUUUAUGUCCACAACCAAUAUAUGUAGUUUAUACUACAUUAAGAAUCUGCACACACAGACGUGUUCACAUUAGUUUGUCCAGAUGUACGGUCUGCUCGGACCCUCAUGGCCACGAGCAGAUGCCGAAAAUAUCAUUUGGGCGUCACACAGUUUGAGAAAAAUCAUCAGAUCAUAGUGACAAUGCAAAAGAAGAUAUUAGCUGCUGUGAAAAUCAAUAUAUUGGAUCCAAAACUGAGAACAUGUAUAGAGCUGAAUCAGUUAGGUGAUAAUCGAUGAGUUAAUUGACAGAAUAUUAAUUUACAACAAUGUUGAUAAUUGGUUAUUUUCUUAUGUCACUUUUUAACCAAAAAUUGACUGAUUCCAGCUUCUCAAAUAUGAACAUUAGCUGUUUUUUUCCUAUGAGAGUAAACGGAGUAUUUUUGGAUUGUGGAGGGAAAUUGUGAUGUUUAAUUGAGAAAAUAAUCGGGAGAUUAAUCAGUACUGGAAGUCCUUAGUUGUAGUUCUGAACAUGUUCUUCGUUUAGUAGUUAAAUAAGUUGCUGUGUUGCUGUUAUACGGUUACUGCAGAUGCCACAGCCCUGUGGAGACUUAACUGUGUGUGUGUGAUCUGUUUUUUAAUCUACAGUAGUCCUUUUUUUUUUUUUUUUUUACAUCUGCCUUGAAGCCACUCGUCUACUUUGCAGCUCUCUAAGCUGAAUUGAAGGUUUUUUUAUUCGGCGUUGUGCCCUCAUUACCAUGCAGACCUAUAUUUUCAAAAUACAAUUCCCUAAUUAUCCCUGCUGUCGUAGUUUUGCAUCAGGAGCAGGGUUGGGAGGGGGUGCUCUGAAAAGGCUUUCAUGUGCAACGCUGUUAGGGUCCAUUUAUUUUCAACUCAGUUCCUCCACAAAACAAAAAUGUUGAGCAAGAUUUCUGUGUGCUGGUUCACAGCAGAGUUUGUUCAUGAUUACUCUGGGAAAGAAAGAAAGACACAGCUUUGCAUUUUUGGGAGGAUUUUUAAAGAAUUUCUGUUUUGAUUGAAAAGACCACCAUUAAAUAAUAAUAAGCCAGGUCAUCCAAGCAAUAUGCUGUAUUGUAAUUUUCUUACAUGAACAGAAAAUAAUGAUAAGGCAUCUGUAGGCCAAAAGGGAUACAGCCUGAUAAAUCAUUUGUUUGAGCUUCUUUAAAGGCCAGUCCUGUGUUUGGGCAGUUACUGUAUAUAAUUAUUAAACAGUUUGACCUAUAGAUGGAAAAGUAGAUGUUUUAGAUGUUAUCUACUGCAGUGGUUCCUAAAGUGUGUGCCGCUCAUUCCCCUUUUACUAAUGUACAUUUCUGAGAACAUUUCACCAUGUAAAAAAAACGAGAUGACAUUUACAUGAACUACACUUUUAGACAUGUUAGGGAUGGCAAUGUCGGCUUGCCGGUCAGUCCAUCACUUUGGUCCAGACUGAAAUAUCUCAACCUCUAUCAGAUGGAGUGCCAUGAAAUUUGCGACAGAUAUUCAAGGUCUCUAGAGGAUAAAUUCGGAUACUUGACUCUACGCCACCAGCAGGUCAAAGCUUUCACUUAUUUAGUGAAAUAUCUUAAGAUCUACUAGCUGGAGUGGCACAAACGUUUGUACAGACAUUCAUGGGCCAAAAUUUGUAUUUGUCCAAUACUUUGGUUUAUGACCAAAUGCCUGCAAACCUAAUGACA